UACGUAGGGUGCGAGCGUUAAUCGGAAUUACUGGGCGUAAAGCGUGCGCAGGCGGUUUUGUAAGCCAGAUGUGAAAGCCCCGGGCUUAACCUGGGAAUGGCAUUUGGGACUGCAAGGCUAGAGUGCGGCAGAGGAGACUGGAAUUCCUGGUGUAGCAGUGAAAUGCGUAGAUAAUCAGGAGGAAUACCGAUGGCGAAGGCAGGUCUCUGGGCUGACACUGACGUCGAUGCACGAAAGCGUGG
rnacentral:rRNA from 1 species